rnacentral:rRNA from 1 species
CCUACUGGAGGCAUCAUUGGGGAAUUUUGCGCAAUGCUCGUAAGAGUGACGCAGCGACGCCGCGUGAAUGACGAAGGCCUUCGGGUCGUAAAGUUCUUUCGACAGGGAAGAAAAUGCCUAUAAGUAACUGUGUAUGUAUUGACGGUACCUGUAUAAGCAGCCCCGGCUAACUCCUUUCCAGCAGCCGCGGUAAUACGGAGGGGGCGAGCGUUGUUCGGAGUGACUGGGCGUAAAGAGAACGUAGGCGGUGUUGUAAGUCAUGAGGCAAAGACGAGAGCUCAAGUUGAGGAAGGAGAGGGAGAAGAGAAUAAUAGAGUAUAAGAGAGGAGGGAAGAAGUGAGGGUGUAGAGGGGAAAGGAGUAGAUAGAAGGAGGAAUAAAGUUAGAGAAGGAGGAAAGAUGGAGGGAAAAGGAAGAUGAGGUGAGAAAGAGUGGGUAGAAAAAAGGAUUAGAUAAAAGGGGAGGC